GAAUGCUGACAUAAGUAACGAUAAAGCGGGUGAAAAGCCCGCUCGCCGGAAGACCAAGGGUUCCUGUCCAACGUUAAUCGGGGCAGGGUGAGUCGACCCCUAAGGCGAGGCCGAAAGGCGUAGUCGAUGGGAAACAGGUUAAUAUUCCUGUACUUGGUGUUACUGCGAAGGGGGGACGGAGAAGGCUAUGUUGGCCGGGCGACGGUUGUCCCGGUUUAAGCGUGUAGGCUGGUUUUCCAGGCAAAUCCGGAAAACCAAGGCUGAGGCGUGAUGAC
rnacentral:rRNA from 1 species